rnacentral:rRNA from 1 species
GCGCACCAGUCGCGAAACCUCCGCAAUGCGGGAAACCGCGACGGGGGACCCGAGUGCCGUGGCAACGCCACGGCUUUUCCGGAGUGUAAAAAGCUCCGGGAAUAAGGGCUGGGCAAGGCCGGUGGCAGCCGCCGCGGUAAUACCGGCGGCCCGAGUGGUGGCCGCUAUUAUUGGGCCUAAAGCGUCCGUAGCCGGGCCCGUAAGUCCCUGGCGAAAUCCCACGGCUCAACCGUGGGGCUUGCUGGGGAUACUGCGGGUCUUGGGACCGGGAGAGGCGGGGGUACCCCUGGGGUAGGGGUGAAAUCCUAUAAUCCCAGGGGGACCGCCAGUGGCGAAGGCGCCCCGCUGGAACGGGUCCGACGGUGAGGGACGAAGGCCAGGGGAGCAAACCGGAUUAGAUACCCCCGUAGU